rnacentral:misc_RNA from 1 species
AGUGUAUUAAGGAGGAAAAACGCUUUAGAAUCUUAUUGUUUUAAUUGCAGUUAUGGGAUAAAAAAACAAAUUUGUGCUAGUCGUUUCUUUGCAUUCUGGAUUGUUAUAUAGUUUAGAUGCUAUUGAGAAAUUGGAAGUAAUUUUAAUGGGAAUUUAGUUUUAUGAAGUUGGGGUUGCACUGGUAUUUUGGCUAUAAUUUUUUCUAGCUUCCUUCCCUUUGGUGCCUUUCAUCAUAUAGUGCACUCGGCAAUGUAAAACUAACUGAAGCAAAAUAUUUCGAUUUGAAGCAGUUAGUUUUACUUAUUACUGUUAUAAGUGAUUGACAAUUCUCAGGAAGUGUUAAAAUUUUGUUGUUUCAAAUUCUGGAUAACUGGUUAUUGACGAGUUAAUUGUACAAAUGGUUAUUUAACUAUAAUUUAGUUUCAUUUUUAUCAUAUAACUUUUACUUCUUGUAAUUAGGCCAUGCAUGCAACUUUAGUUUUGUUUCAAUUUGGUACAACAUCCAGAUUCUUGGAAAAGUCUCACGGGAAUGCUGUCAUGAACCAUGAAGCAUUCAUUUACACAUUUGGUUUUGAUAAAUUGCAUACAAUUAGGAUAUGUGAGAGUACCGAAGUUGAAACAAAAUUUAAGUUUUAUGAUCUAAUUCUUUGCCAAUCACAUGACUAAUAUAAAAUUAAUCUUCGAGUUUGGUAGCCAUUAGUAUAAUUAACCUGAAUACUGACAUAUUAACAUCAUAGAAUACAAGCAGUAGAAUACAGCCUGGGAAAUCAUUUGUAUGAUUGUAUGAUUUCAUAAAUGAAUUCUAAUUUCGUGUUUUUUUUUUUUUUU